rnacentral:lncRNA from 1 species
AAUACACUUGACUAGACUAGAUGAUCGGCUGUCGCUAGCUUGAUUCCAUUCAUAUUGACCAGCUUGUUUCUUUCCUUCUAGUUAAUUUCCUCCGCAUCUUGCAGUGACCUUAGGGUUAGUUCGAGUGUCAAAAUAUUCCCUUGAUUGUUCCCCAUCAAUCUGCUAACUAUACCUAAUUUAUGUCUGUAUAUCAAGAUUUUAGAGUCCAGACAGGUUGUACU